rnacentral:tRNA from 1 species
GGGACGUAGCUUAAUUGGUAGAGCAGCAGUGUUGCAGCUGCAAGAUGUGAGUUCGAGCCUCACCGUCUCCG